AACGAACGCUGGCGGCAUGCCUAACACAUGCAAGUCGAGCGGGCACUUCGGUGUCAUCGGCGCACGGGUGCGUAACGCGUGGGAACAUGCCAUUAGGUACGGAACAACACAGGGAAACUUGUGCUAAUACCGUAUAAUAUCUCCGGAUCAAAGAUUUAUCGCCUAAGGAUUGGCCCGCGUUAGAUUAGGUAGUUGGUGGGGUAAUGGCCUACCAAGCCGACGAUGUAUAGCUGGUCUGAUAGGAUGAUCAGCCACACUGGAAAUGAGACACGGUCCAGACUCCUACGGGAGGCAGCAGUAAGGAAUAUUGGACAAUGGGCGAAAGCCUGAUCCAGCCAUGCCGCGUGAGUGAUGAAGGCCUUAGGGUUGUAAAGCUCUUUUAGAUGGGAAGAUAAUGACUGUACCAUCAGAAUAAGCCCCGGCUAAAUUCGUGCCAGCCGCCGCGGUAA
rnacentral:rRNA from 1 species